rnacentral:rRNA from 1 species
UACGGAGGGUGCAAACGUUGCUCGGAAUUAUUGGGCGUAAAGCGCACGUAGGCGGCCGUCUAAGUCGGGUGUGAAAGCCCAGGGCUCAACCCUGGAAGUGCACUCGAAACUGGACGGCUUGAAUAUGGAAGAGGGUCGCGGAAUUCCCGGUGUAGAGGUGAAAUUCGUAGAUAUCGGGAGGAACACCAGUGGCGAAGGCGGCGACCUGGGCCAAUAUUGACGCUGAGGAGCGAAAGCGUGGGUAGCAAACAGG